rnacentral:rRNA from 1 species
CGGGAUCAUUACCGAGUUUACAACUCCCGAACCCCAUGUGAACAUACCUGUUUCGUUCCCUCGGCGGUGUCCGGCAACGGCCCGCCAGAGGACCCAACAAACUCUUUUGAAUUUUUCAGUAUCUUCUGAGUAAAAAAAACAAUAAAUCAAAACUUUCAACAACGGAUCUCUUGGUUCUGGCAUCGAUGAAGAACGCAGCGAAAUGCGAUAAGUAAUGUGAAUUGCAGAAUUCAGUGAAUCAUCGAAUCUUUGAACGCACAUUGCGCCCGCCAGUAUUCUGGCGGGCAUGCCUGUUCGAGCGUCAUUUCAACCCUCAAGCACCUUCGGGAGCUUGGUGUUGGGGAUCGGCAGGGCGUCCUCCGGGUCGCGCCGUCCCCCAAAUCUAGUGGCGGUCUCGCUGUAGCUUCCUCUGCGUAGUAAUACACCUCGCUCUGGAGUCUCGGUGCGGCCACGCCGUAAAACCCCCAACUUUUUUCUGGUUGACCUCGAAUCAGGUAGGACUACCCGCUGAACUUAA